AGUGUCUAACCAGCCUCCUCUCUGAUAUGCAAAAUUAUGAUGACUUGGAAAGCUCAAAGAGAAGUGUCUGGAAUCAGAAUUGCUUGGUGGAAAGGCAAAGCAGGAGGACCCACAUUGGAUUAUAAACCUCUCUGGAAGAAAAUCUUACUCAGGAGGCAAACAGACUUCUUCCCAUGAACACUAGGCUAGAAACAACCCAUUAAACCCAUCAAGUGGAGAAUAGGCAUGAGGGUUGCAUCGCACCAUCUUUUGUUCAGAGAGCUGGAAAGGUUCCCAGCUGGGAAAGGUCGAGUUUUAUGUAACGAAAUUUGAACCAAUAAUCAGCCUUUCACGGAAAUGAGAAAGAAGACAAUGGACUCUACAUAGAAAACAUCUAUCUACAAACAUGGGCAGCUGCCUGGAGCCCUAUCCAUCAUCCACAUUCAGGUUCCCACGAUCAAUGCCACAGUCAGUCAUUGGCCAUCCUUGAAACACCAGAAUCAUUAUGAACAAACACCAGAGACUCACAGAUUGAAUUCCUCUUACUGCUCCAGAGGCCAGCAAUGCCAAACAUACAGGAUGCACAAAAAUUGCUUUAUGAGAUUGCUGAUUCUCUGAGACCAGCUACAUCCUUUUCUUGAAUCUUAUCUUUCUCAUCUACUUCUCUGACUCCAGAGCUUUUCUAUAAUAAUGUUUUGAGCUGAAAGUACACUAUAUUUCAGAUCUCCCUUUAAUAUUUUGGUUAAGAUGAAAAUCAUGUCUCUCAAGAG
rnacentral:lncRNA from 1 species